rnacentral:lncRNA from 1 species
AACUCCUAUGUCUUAUUAGGUUGCAUCUGAAUUUUCAUUCUUGCAGUUUCUUAAUUUGUAAUCCAUAUAUGUUCAAGUAUCUAUGUAUCUUAUUCCUAAUAUAUUUCCCUAUUCUAUGUUUCAAGAACCUCAUAUUCCAACAAUACAUUCAAUUUAUUUGUGCGUUGCACUAAGGGCUUGUUUAGAACUAUUCUACUAUGAAGCAACUCAAAAAAAUAUCUAGAGUUUCUUUCAACUUUUGUUAGUACUUAGUAGAGUUGGUUGAGCAUUCCUGUUUGGC